rnacentral:rRNA from 1 species
AUUGAACGCUGGCGGCAUGCCUUACACAUGCAAGUCGAACGGUAACGCGGGGCAACCUGGCGACGAGUGGCGAACGGGUGAGUAAUGCAUCGGAACGUGCCCAGUUGUGGGGGAUAACUGCUCGAAAGAGCAGCUAAUACCGCAUACGACCUGAGGGUGAAAGCGGGGGAUCGCAAGACCUCGCGCAAUUGGAGCGGCCGAUGUCGGAUUAGCUAGUAGGUGAGGUAAAGGCUCACCUAGGCGACGAUCAGUAGCGGGUCUGAGAGGAUGAUCCGCCACACUGGGACUGAGACACGGCCCAGACUCCUACGGGAGGCAGCGGUGGGGAAUUUUGGACAAUGGGCGAAAGCCUGAUCCAGCCAUGCCGCGUGUCUGAAGAAGGCCUUCGGGUUGUAAAGGACUUUUGUCGGGGAGGAAAUCCCCAGCGCUAAUACCGCUGGGGGAUGACAGUACCUGAAGAAUAAGCACCGGCUAACUACGUGCCAGCCGCCGCAGUAAAAC